AUAGAUUUAAGUUAAUGUUUUCAAACUAUUAGUCUUCAAAACUAAAAAUUUUAUCUAUA
rnacentral:tRNA from 1 species